rnacentral:rRNA from 1 species
CGGACGGGUGAGUAACGCGUGAGAAUCUGCCUUCAGGUCUGGGACAACCACUGGAAACGGUGGCUAAUACCGGAUGUGCCGCAAGGUGAAAGGUUAACUGCCUGAAGAUGAGCUCGCGUCUGAUUAGCUAGUAGGUAGUGUAAAGGACUACCUAGGCGACGAUCAGUAGCUGGUCUGAGAGGACGAUCAGCCACACUGGGACUGAGACACGGCCCAGACUCCUACGGGAGGCAGCAGUGGGGAAUUUUCCGCAAUGGGCGAAAGCCUGACGGAGCAAUACCGCGUGAGGGAGGAAGGCUCUUGGGUCGUAAACCUCUUUUCUCAGGGAAGAACACAAUGACGGUACCUGAGGAAUAAGCAUCGGCUAACUCCGUGCCAGCAGCCGCGGUAAUACGGAGGAUGCAAGCGUUAUCCGGAAUGAUUGGGCGUAAAGCGUCCGCAGGUGGCAAUGUAAGUCUGCUGUUAAAGAGUCUAGCUCAACUAGAUAAGAGCAGUGGAAACUACAUAGCUAGAGUACGUUCGGGGCAGAGGGAAUUCCUGGUGUAGCGGUGAAAUGCGUAGAGAUCAGGAAGAACACCAGUGGCGAAGGCGCUCUGCUAGGCCGUAACUGACACUGAGGGACGAAAGCUAGGGGAGCGAAUGGGAUUAGAUACCCCAGUAGUC